rnacentral:lncRNA from 1 species
ACAGGAAGCAGAAGGUGAGGUAAAAAAGUAUCAGGGACAGGAAGCAGAGGGUGAGGUAAAAUAGUCUCUGGGACAGGAAGCAGAGGGUGAGGUAAAAUAAUCUCAGGGACAGGAAGCAGAGGGUGAGGUAAAAGAGUCUCUGGGACAGGAAGCAGAGGGUGAGGUAAAAUAGUCUCUGGGACAGGAAGCAGACGGUGAGGUAAAAGAGUCUCAGGGACAGGAAGCAGAGGGCGAGGUAAAAGAGUCUCGGAGACAGGAAGCAGAGGAUGAGGUAAAAUAGUCUCUGGGACAGGAAGCAGAUGGUGAGGUAAAAUAGUCUCUGGGACUGGAAGCAGACGGUGAGGUAAAAGAGUCUCAGGGACAGGAAGCAGACGGUGAGGUAAAAGAGUAUCAGGGACAGGAAACAAAGGGUGAGGCAAAAGAGUCCCAGGAACAGGAACAGGAAGCAGAGGGUGAGGUAAAAAAGUAUCAGGGACAGGAAGCAGAGGGUGAGGUAAAAGAGUCUCAGGGACAGGAAGCAGAGGGUGAAGUAAAAGAGUAUCAGGGACUGGAAGCAGAGGGUGAGGUAAAAGAGUCUCAGGGACAGGAAGCAGAGGGUGAGGUAAAAUAGUCUCAGGGACAGGAAGAAAUAAAAGAGGAGAUGAAGGAAGAAUGAAAAUACUGAGAUUCAGGCAGCAAAGAAGAAGGAAAAUUGGAUUAGAAACAAGAGGGAAAUGUAGAGGAGGCAUUAGUCGUUGUGUGAUAUACUACAUAUACAAAAGUAUUUGGACACCCUUUCAAAUUAGUGGAUUCGGCUAUUUCAGACACACCUGUUGCUGACGUGUAUAAAAUCGAGCACACAGCCAUGCACUUUCCAUAGACAAACACUGGCAGUAGAAUGGCCCAUACUGAAGAGCUCAGUGACUUUCAACGUGGCACCGUUAUAGGAUGCCACCUUUCCAACAAGUCAGUUUGUCAAAUUUCUGCCCUGCUAGAGCUGCCCUGGUCAACUGUAAGUGCUGUUAUUGUGAAGUGGAAACAUCUAGGAGCAACAACGGCUCAGCCGCGAAGUGGUAGGCCAGACAAGCUCUCAGAACCAGAACGCCGAGUGCAGAAGCACAUAAAAAUCGUCUGUCCUCGUUUGUAACACUCACUAUCAAGUUCCAAACUGCCUCUGGAAGCAACGUCAGCACAAGAACUGUUUGUUGGGAGCUUCAUCAAAUGGGUUUCCAUGGCUGAGCAGCCACACACAAGCCUAAGAUCACCAUGCAAAAUGCCAAGCGUUGGCUGGAGUGGUGUAAAGCUCGCCGCCAUUGAACUCUGGAGCAGUGGAAACGCAUUCUCUGGAGUGAUGAUUCACGCUUUACCAUCUGGCAGUCCGACGGACGAAUCGGGUUUGGCGGAUGCCAGAAGAACACUACCUGCCCCAAUGCAUAGUGCCAACUGUAAGGAUUGGUGGAGGAGGAAUAAUGGUCUGGGGCUGUUUUUCAUGGUUCGGCUAGGCCCCUUAGUUCCAGUGAAGGGAAAUGUUUACGCUACAGCAUACAAUGACAUUCUAGACGAUUCUGUGCUUCCAACUUUGUGGCAACAGUUUGGUAAAGGCCCUUUCUUGUUUCAUCAUGACAAUACCCUAUGCACAAAGCGAGGUUCAUACAGAAAUGGUUUGUCGAGAUCAGUGUGGAAGAACUUGACUGGCCUACACAGAGCCCUGACCUCAACCCCAUCGAACACCUUUGGGAUGAAUUG